UCCGUUUCCAAUCCGCGGAAAGGUCCCGAGUGCGGGGAGCCGGGAGCGGCAGAAACGCGACGCGUCCGGCCGGGGACCGGGGACACGACACCGGCUCUCCACGAACCGGUCGGGACGCCCAGAAAACCGGUACUAGCAGUGAGCGCCUCUGAAGAGAGAGACGGUCGCCGGCGGCGGUGAAGCGCAAGUGAACCGAACGAGGUGCGAGGGCCGGUGUCACCCCCCCGGUCCACGAGUGAGAGGUUUUCAAACUCCCCCCCCCAGGACGGGCUUGAAGUUUGCAACUGGCACGAGCAAGAAGCAGGCCCGUGCUGGCGUGACCACCUCACCGCAAGGCGGCGCCGGUUCCGUUCAUGAAGUUGUCGGCGCUUCCCGGCAGCUCCUUCAUCCAGCUGGGGGCACAGGAGAGCCAGUGCCUGUUCCAGUAAGGGGGUUGGUCGCCGGAGAGCUCAGGGUGGAAGUCACAGGCCCCUGGUGGGUGUGGUCACGAGCUCUUCAUCUGCGCCAAUCAGCUCUCUCAGUGAUGAGGUGAUUUAGUGCUGUUGCAGCAAAGUCGCUACGAGUGUUAUGAGUUAAGCAUGAAUGAUCGAUUAAUCAGAAUAAAACCAAAACUUUUUAACACGUA